rnacentral:lncRNA from 1 species
AAGCAUCGCCAAUUGAAGAUAUAUAAAAAAAAUGAAAUAGUAGUCAUGGUUAUUGUUCCUACAUUUUUUGAUUAAUAAAUAAAUUCGGUCAUCUACAUCAAGCAAUUUCUUGUCAAGUUGCUCAAAGGGAACUGAUAACAUUUUGUUUGAAGAAAAUGAGAUAGUGAUAGAGGAAACUUUUAUGGGUCCUGGCCGAUGAAUUACUAGCAGCUCCCUC